rnacentral:lncRNA from 1 species
CUGUGAGCCACUGCGUCCAGCCCUAAGAUGAUUCAUACCUAUCGGGGAAAACAGUGCCACUGGAGAGAACAGGCUGGCCCCUGCACUCUGGAUUGGGGACAGGAGUUAUCCAGGCCUGUCUGAAGGCAAUAGCAGGUGUGUCCAUGGGACUUCUUCCAGGAAGGGUGGGCCUUGAGUUACAGACCUGAAAAGGUGCAUAGGGUUCUGGGAACAGAGUGGGUCACGGGUGAGCCCAGGCCUUGGGGUGAGGCAUACCUGGCUCUGUUUGGCUGAGUAGCUUCAGGCAGAUCCCUUUUCCUUUCUGAGCCUCUGCUGCUGACCAGGGUGACGCUAUUCCAUGCUGGUCCACAGUGAGGAGACGGGAGGGAAUGGUGGCCAGCACACUUGGCAUGGGGCCUGGCCUGUGGCGUGGGCCCACCCCUGGCUGCUUUUGGUUUUCCUUGACCAGCCGCCCUGCCCCGGGCAGACAGAUGCAGCUGGGGCCUUCCGGUGGCUGGAACCCUCAGAGCGAUGGCUGCAGGUGCUGCAGGAGGGCGUCUUGUGCAGGACCUUGGCGGGGUGCUGGCCCCUGAGGCUCCUUGCCACCCCGGGCAGCCUGGCGGAGCUGCCUGUCACCCAUCCUGCCGGAGUGAGGUGAGGGUGAUGGGGGGGAUGCCAGUCCAGGUGGUGGGCACUGUGGCAGGGCUGCCAGUCAGGCCCUCUUCUCUUCCCACUCCUCCAGGCCUCCCAUCCCUGGACCGCCUUAUGUGGCCUCCCCUGACCUCUGGUCCCACUGGGAAGACUCAGCCCUGCCCCCACCAAGCCUGAGGCCUGUGCAGCCCACCUGGGAGGGCUCCUCAGAGGCAGGCCUGGACUGGGCUGGGGCCAGCUUCUCCCCAGGGACUCCGAUGUGGGCGGCCUUGGAUGAGCAGAUGCUGCAGGAGGGCAUCCAGGCCUCGCUUCUUGACGGGCCAGCCCAGGAACCCCAGAGCGCACCAUGGCUGUCCAAUUCCUCUGUCUUCUCUCUGCGGCUGCAGCAGCUGGAGCGCAUGGGCUUCCCUACGGAGCAGGCGGUGGUGGCACUGGCAGCCACAGGCCGUGUGGAGGGUGCCGUGUCACUGUUGGUUGGAGGACAAGUGGGCACUGAGACCCUGGUGACCCAUGGAAAGGGUAGGCCUGCCCACUCCGAGGGUCCUGGGCCUCCCUAGCCCAGGCAGAGAGUGGGGCACAGGCAGGCCCUUGGGUGCUAAGGGCUGGGCUGCAUGUGGGUAGCCCGAGCUCCUGCUCUGUCUAAAGAGGGCCACAGUGGGGAGCAGGGGCACCUCUGGAGGCAGGAGAGGCCCCCCAGCAUGCUGCCCUAGUACGUGUUUAGAAUAAAAACCAGUUUGUUUUUCAACCUGGACCUCCUUGGAGGCAGCAGUUGUGUUUGACUCUUCUGUGUUGGCAUCAGGGGGAUGAAUGAAUGAGUGAGCACCAAAUGAAUGACCAGUUGUGGGAGAGCUGUUCCCUGAUGUCCA